rnacentral:misc_RNA from 1 species
GAUGAAGAACGCAGCGAAAUGCGAUAAGUAAUGUGAAUUGCAGAAUUCAGUGAAUCAUCGAAUCUUUGAACGCACAUUGCGCCCGCCAGUAUUCUGGCGGGCAUGCCUGUUCGAGCGUCAUUACAACCCUCAGGCCCCCGGGCCUGGCGUUGGGGAUCGGCGGAAGCCCCCUGCGGGCACAACGCCGUCCCCCAAAUACAGUGGCGGUCCCGCCGCAGCUUCCAUUGCGUAGUAGCUAACACCUCGCAACUGGAGAGCGGCGCGGCCACGCCGUAAAACACCCAACUUCUGAAUGUUGACCUCGAAUCAGGUAGGAAUACCCGCUGAACUUAAGCAUAUCAAUAAGCGGGGA